UAUUCGCAGAAUCUUGCGGAAAAGAAAGCAAGGAGGGCGCAGCAGGAGGUGCCCGCUCUAGGCUUCAAAGGCGAGCUCCAAGAAAGCCCAGCCCCAAACUGGGUUGCCGUGCCUCCCUCCCCCGCCUUGCUCCGCAGUUCCUGACAGGGCUGUUAGGCUUUCCACAGGGAUAAUGGAAAGGUUGGCAAGUUGGGUUUUGGAAGAGAAGUUGGCAUUCAGAGCAAGUUUCUAAAAUCUGCCCAGAACAGUUACCUGCUGGUUGGCGUUGGGGAUGCAAAGUAUGGAUAUCCAUGGGGAAAUGAAGCUUGUUACGGAUGAUCUCCUGAUUUUUUCCAGUAAAUUUGUUGGCACUGUUAAUACUCU